NNNNUGGAUGGGUGGGUGGAUGGGUGGGUGUGUAGAUGGGUAGAUGGGUGGAUGGAUGGGUGGGAGGAUGGAUGGAUGGAUGGAUGGAUGGAUGGAUGGAUGGAUAGAUGGAUGGGUGGAUGGAUGGGUGGAUGGAUGGGUCAUUCUCCAAAAUUGCAAAUGGUGUGCAAGAAAACUUCAGCCUAAACAGUUCUCAUAUAUUUUCUGGUGGUCUUGGUUGCACAAGGAAACUUAACUUCCUGUCAUCUCAAAAUGUAUGUGGACUCAGUGCCAUUUUACCUCUUUCCUCGUUUUAGUCUUAUGCUUACCUACAUGCUCAUUUAAGUUACGGAACAGGAAGUCAUUUUAACUCACUGAUGGCCCAGAUGAAUUAAUGAUUAAACAACUGGGCUUGAUUUGCUCCUAUUCCCAGAUUUUCAGAGCACUCAUAUAGGCUGGCCUUCUGCAUCUCUGCAAGAUAAUCUAGAAGGGAGGGAGGAAGGCCGAAUGGGCGCUCCUUUCAGCUCCUUCCAUUCACCUGGUCAAGUCAUUUACUCAUUCAUUCAGUGAAUGUUUAGAGAGCUCACUAUGCAUCAACCAAGUUCUAGGUUCUGAAGAUACAGCCAUGACUAAAGCAGAUGAAGUCCCUGCUCUCUUGGAGGUUACAUGGAGACAGACAAGUCCACAAAACGCAAUGGGGUAGGAAGAGGGAUUGCACAGUACCACACGUCUCUUCCCACGGACAUCCUCUCCUCUGGACAGGCCACUGAGGUGGAAAGCUUGGACCUCUGUGUGGAGUACGGUGCCUUCGAUGUAACACGAAGAAAGGAAGAAAAGAAGGUUCUGAAUGUUCCGUUUUGAGCAUAUUGAGUGGGACAGUUGAUUAGAAGGAUCUGAAAAUCAGGCGGGAGGACCGAGGUGGAAAGAGGACAUCAACAUCACGUGGGCCAUGAUGGUUAAGGUAGGAAGUAGGAGGAGAGACAAGGAGAGCCGCCUGCAGGACAGAAUGACAAACGCCUCAAGCAGCCCAGUCACAACCCAGCCCUGACUGAGGGACUGCUUUGUUCCAGACACUCUGCAAAGUGCUUGACAUGGUUUAUCUCAUUUCAUCUUCAUGAUCCUGCAACGCCAGGCUCCCCUGCUUUACAGACAAUGAAACUGAGCUUCCCAAGAGUGUCCUGAACUCACAUCCAGCUGACUCAUUCCCUCCCGCCAAUUCCCUCUCGCCCUCCACCGCUGCCUUCUCUGACCCCUGUCCUCACUGCAGGAGACAAGGAGGUCAUGAAAGUUAUCUUGCUUUUGGAAUCAUACCCAAGGAACAGCCCUAACGCCAGGGCUCCCUGGCAUUGUAUUUACUUACAUUUGCACAGUUUGCAAAUAAGAUAAUAUUCCCAUCAACAGCGUAUUUGAUGCUCACAACAUCCCUGUUAGGUGGGAUAAUCCAUAUUUUACAAGGACAGUAAGGAUGCCAGAACUAAAGGUCAUUUGCCAACAGUCACACAGCUGGUAAGUGGCAGAGCCAAGUCCAGAACGGGUCCAUCUUGGGCAGGGAGAUGCUAAAAUCACAAGACACUGGAUCUUCCCGACAGCCACUUUCUGAGCCUGGUUCUCGGAGUUGUAGCUCCAUCUAGUGGUCCACAUUAGUAUUGCGCUAGUAGAACCUCCUACUUCAGUCAAGCUCUAACAGCCCCAACAAGACCAACUCUGCUUAGACAAGGGGUACUCACUCAAACAGGGAAGAUAUUUCACAGCUAAGAAAGACUGGGGACUCGGAGGAAGGACCACAUCACCUCCCACGCUCAAAGAACAGCCACAGGGAGAAACAGUUGUGCUGUGAGCAUCUUUUCUCAGAAUCAUAAUUAAGCACCUACUGAGUGCCAAGCCUGGACCAAAUGACCAGGAUCCGCUGUCCUGCUGCUCUGACCAAGCCACCUGCAUGGCUGUCAUGAGAGUUGUUAAAAACCACAUGUACCCUGCAGAAGCUUUCUCUGUAAAGGAGCAGAGAGUAAAUAUCUGUUGCAUAUUCUUUUUAUGUAUGUAGCCCUUUAAAAAUGUAAAAGCCAUUCUUAUACUGGAGUCCAUAUAAAGCAGACUACAACCAGAUUUGGGCCAUAGGCUAUAAUGUGCUGACUCUUGCUAGAUCGUCAAUUGAAGGAAGAAAGGGAAUUUUCUUCCCCAAAACCUGAGAGGAGGAGGGCUGGUAAAAAUAAUAUGGUAAAUAUGUUGACAAAGUAUUUUUUUUUGCACUGUUCAUAAUAGGGAAUAUUACAUUUUCUUUAGGAAAUGGGGGAAAGGAAAUGUAUGCACAUGUUAAAAAAUUGUAACACUGUGGGGCACCUGGGUGGCUCGGUUGUUAAGCAUCUGCCUUCGGCUCAGGUCAUGAUCCCAGGGUCCUGAGUUCGAGUCCCAUAUUGGGUUUCCUGCUGGGCGGGAAGUGGGCUUCUCCUUCUCCCACUCCCCCUGCUUGUGUUCCCUCUCUCGCUGUGUCUCUCUCUGUCAAAUAAAUAAAAUCUUUAAAAAAAUUGUAACACUGCAAAAGGACAUUUGCUAAAUAAUAUUUCUUUCCCCUCCAAACCUCAGGCCCCACUCCCAUCUAGAGAGGUAAUCUCGCUGUGCCUAGUAGCCUAUGUAUCUUCCAGAUUACUCUGUGCAUAUACAAGCUAAAAACACAUGAGCAAAUAAAAAU
ensembl:lincRNA